rnacentral:piRNA from 1 species
UGAACUUUAGUGAUUAAGGACUCUAAAAGU